rnacentral:rRNA from 1 species
UACGUAGGGUGCGAGCGUUAAUCGGAAUACUGGGCGUAAAGUGUGCGCAGGCGGCCGAGCAAGUCGAGUGUGAAAGCCCCGAGCUUAACUUGGGAAUUGCGCUCGAAACUACUUGGCUGGAGUGUGGCAGAGGAAGGUGGAAUUCCAGGUGUAGCAGGUGAAAUGCGUAGAGAUGUGGAGGAACACCGAUGGCGAAGGCAGCCCCCUGGGCUAACACUGACGCUCAUGCACGAAAGCGUGGGGGAGCAAACAGGG